rnacentral:tRNA from 2 species
UGCGUUCGUAGCUCAGUUGGUUAGAGCACCACCUUGACAUGGUGGGGGUCGUUGGUUCGAGUCCAAUCGAACGCACCAU